GUUGCUAGGGAAAAGUAGUAAACUGCCCUUGGAGCAGUAGGAGAUAAGAGCAGAAGAAAAGCUCCAAUAAGUACUACAAAGUGUCUCAUCUAUCUAGAUGGUCAAAAUGAGAUCUGAGUAAAGGUAGGGGAAAAACAAAUAAACAAACAAACAAAAAACUAGCAAGCCAUUCAAGAGAACUGUGAUUACAAUUAUUUCAGAUGUCAGUGAAAGCAUAAAUAAGUGCUUUGAGAAGGGUUUAUUAUAUUACACAUUUAUCAGCUUUCCUGUGUUUUGUCAGGGUAAUGAAGAAUUGAAAAUGAAACAAAGAAAGAAAGUAAAAUGAAAAAAAAAAAAAAAAAAAAAAAAAAGGAAUGAAAGAAAACAAAGGAAACACUGACACCACUGCAACACUGGCUUUUGAAAACAUAUCUUGAAAUCUUACCUGUUUUAAGAAACUGAGAGUUUCUAGGUAUCUUCAUAAUUAAAAUAUUGGAGACAAGGAGCAUUCGAAGUAUGUUGUCUUUCCUUGAUUU